UUAGGCUUCAUAAUCAGAUUUCAGAAUUGAAAAGUUACUAACUGAACUGAAAUCUUCAGCAGUUUAAAUAUUCUUUUUUAUAGUUUUGUGCAGCAUCAGAAGUGGAGACAAAACCAAAACCUUAAAACAGAAACUGUAUGUGAGGAGAAAAACCAAUUGUUCAAGAUUGUCUUUAAUUAACACUGCCCGCUGUGGCCCCCCCCCCCCCCCAUAUCGGUAUCCUCUAAUUUGAAUGUGUUUAAUUAACUCUAAACUUUCAAGUUCUCCCUGUUCAAUCAUAGGAGUCACUCACACUACACAGUGAUAGGUUUUCCUUGAUAACAUAUAAUGGUUGCCACUAAAAAGUUGAAAUUGGCCAAUAGACUCCACAUAGUUGUCGCGGUUAUUUCCUGUUCCAAGUAUGGGGAAAUACUGUGGUGCUUCAGAUACCAUUGUAUGAUUACUGUUGAUUAUUACGGACUUCAGUGAUGACCACUAUAAUCUGAUAGUGUCUGAGUGGCAUUAGUAUAGUGCUCUUUUCUUUCAAUAAACGUGCAGUUGCAGUUACUCCACACUUCAGCACUAUUUCUGAUGCAAUUCCUAAAAUAUUGCCUUCUGGAAGUUGAACACACACACUUUGUACCAUGGUUUUGGUCUUUUAGAGCCCAAAUUAAAAUCAGGAUCAAAAGGAAUAGUAGGCAACUUUGAAAGUGAAGCACACAAUCUGGAAAGAUUGUAGGGUUUUUAGAAAUAUCAUCUGAGGGGCAAUAAGCAAACAGAGUUAACGUUAUUACUGCUAUUCAGUCACAACCACUGCUUAGAGAGAGUAUUCACUGACAAUUCUCAGUCUCCAGUGUUCUGAAACUGAGCUAUUUGUUGGCUCUAUCCUCUUAGUGACUCAUUAUAAAGCCAAUGUUGCAGCAGGCUGGAAAAAGAAUAGAACUCAUGGGGUAUAACAAAGGAAAAAUAUAUUGUAGUCAAGCCUGUGUUUUCCUCCCAAUAACUUCCAUACAUGAAAAUAGCUUCAUAGAAAAAUAUCUAGUUGGAUAGACUGAUUUUUUUUUAUUUUACUGAACAUUGUGUUACAUGAUACAACACUGAAAUUUGCAGUCUUAGCUUGAUGUUAUUCCCUUUGCAUGUGCAUUACAAAUUCACGUAAUUUUAUUUAUAAUACCAAGAUAGCAGUGACAAUCUUCUUUUUGUCCAUCAGAUUUGUGGGCAGAACUAAAGCUUGUGUGUGUGUUGGUAAUACAUGCAAACAAUUUUGGGAAUGUGAGUGGGAGUUGGGUCCUCAUAUGAAAUUAUAAUUCUCAGAACAUGAUAAUGUCUGAAGCAGAAUGAAUGAAAUGCAUUUGUGGAGGACGUCUUGUGCCCGAUGCUGUAAUUAAAAAUAUAUUCAUUCCAUUUGCAUUUUAAAACAUUCUGUUCAUACUUCGUGUUGGCAUGUUUUUAAACCCAAAGUAUGAAAUUGUCCUCUGAGGGACUAGCACAAGGUCCAUGCACCACUUAAGUGCUGAUCCUUUCUACUCAGGAGUCAGUUGGACCCCAGUAUCACAGAAGAGUUCUCUGAGCCUUUUUGCAAUCCCUUUCACCCUCUGAAUAACACUGGGUACUGCUGUAUGCAGUGGUGUUGUAGCUGUGUCGGUUCCAAGAUAUUAGAGAGACCAGGUGCAUGAGGUAAUAUCUUUUAUUGGACCACCGUCUGGUGGUGAGAGAGACGAGCAUUCAAGGUUACACAGAGCUCUUCUUCAGGGUUUUGCUGUCAGUUAUGGUUCCCAAAUAGGCAUUAAAUUAAAAUGUAAGUUCUUUGAUAGAACUGAAAUACCUAGACUAAUAAAAAAUACAAGACGCCAGAUCUGUUGUGAUGAUUUAUGUAAGGUUUUGUGUUUUGAAUUGCAGUACUUUGAACAUCUACUUUAAGGCAUUUAUUUUGAUUUACUGUUAUAUAUACAACCAUAGGUGUGAACAUCUCACUUUGUAAAGGUAUAAGAAUAAAAGUUUUUGUUACAAAAAGUGCUUAGUGCCUACUGCCUUAAGUAGGUUUUUGCUUGGUAAUAAGUGUUUGUAGGAUCAGACCUUAAAUUAGAAAUAAUACAGACCAAGGAGUCAGGAAAGACAGAUGAAAGUCACAUAAUUGGGUUUGUUUAUUUUCAUUAUGUACCUUGUUAGCGCUAGUUUUUUUAAAUAAUAAAACAUUCAGCUCUUCUGUCAUGCUUUUCAUCAGUAGAUUUCAAAGCGCUGUACAAAGGAGGUAUCGUUAGCCUCAUAUUACAGAUGGGAAAACUGAGAGAUGAAGUACCUUGCCCAGAGUCACACAGCAAGCUAGUAGUACAGCUGGAAAUAGAAAUGAGGUCUUGAGUCCCAGUCCAGUGCUCUACCCACUAGGACACACUGCCUCUCAAAUAAAAGAGCUGACGCUGGCUAGGAUAAGGAAAUAAUCUUGGAGGAAUGGUGCUUCCCUCAUCAUUCACUGAAUCAUGGUCUUGCAUCCAUCACUUGAAAUGCCUACUAUUCUUCCCUUGCUGUCCCCCGUUAUUUAUGUUAACCUCAUCUUGCAACUGGUGGUCCUGCUUUAUGGCAGCAGUAAAUGAUUACACAGUUUGGCCUAAGUGUUGGGAAGCCAGCUCACCACUUUUUUUAGUAUUUCACUGUGAGAAGGCAUUCCAGUCAUGUGUUACUUGUGUCCCUAUGGAGUACGUAUGAUAUUACAUGCAUGUUUCCUGAGGAGGCACAGCUGAAGGAGAACUUGUUUAAAGAACUAUAUUCUUAAAAAUGUGAGUUGUAUGGCUCCUUUAUGAGUCCCUCAUCCCCUGGGACCUUUAAGGUACAAGUCAGUACUGUAAAUGUAAAUAAUAGACCAACUCCUUAGGUCUCCAUACAGUUUUCACAGUUUUUACUCUGUCCGUACCCAGGUAGAUGUCCUACUGAAGUCAAUGGGAACUUUGUCUGAGAAAAUAUAUGAAGAGGACUAUAUGAUGUGGUCCUGAGUGCAGGACCAAAUGAAUGGGAAAUUCCAUAGGACAAAUUAAUACCCUUAACGUUACUUGUUCAAAGCUUAGGUCUUAAUAUUUUAUUAAAACUGUGUUUAAACUGAAAUGUAUAUAUUUUUCACCUUUAUAAUCAACUUGUUUCUCCUUCAGGAAUCACUUAAUGAUAGCAUCACACCAUAGUCCAGUAUGUUUAAUUUUGUGGCUUGCUGAUAUAUAAGCAACUAUGAUGUCAAAAUCAUUUGAAUGAAAGUGAAGCAAAGGAUGAGCAAAAUAAGGUCUGUCCGAAACGGCAACCCCUUUUAGUAAUACUACUACUAACUACCUUGCACUUCUAUAGCACCUUUCAUUCAAGGACCUGAAAGCAUUUUUCAAACAUUAAGUGUCACAACCUGCCUUAAACUCAUGGCUGAACUAUAUUCGUUCCCUAAAAUUUCCUCAGCACUGCUACCAUGGUGUAACUCCUCCUAGUGAUAGCCACAACAGAAGCAGUGUAGAGCAGCUGUUGGCAUUUUAAAAAACCCACUCUGAGCAGGUUUGGACUACAUGGCUGUUAAAAAGCUGUGCCCAGUGGUGCAUUUGUUACACCGACAGACCCCAGUCAUUGGCAGGUGGGAUCGAACCUGCAGCCUCUGGAGCUUAAAGCAUGAGGCUCUACCACCUGAGCUAAAAGCCAACUGCUUGUUAGCUAAGGCUGUAGAGGAGACUCAUUUUUUAUCUCUCUUUAAGUGGUCUCGGUGCCACUAGAUGGGACAGAACACCACACCCAGGAGGUGUGUGGGUUACACAUUCAUUCCAUUAGGGCCACUGCCAUUAUUAUGAUAGCAACAAUAGGAAAUUUUAGGAAAGUGAUUCUAGUACAGACAACGCCUUAGGUAUCUGAGAACUUCACAACAUUAUCAGUGCAUCAAAAUUACCUCUGAAAGGUAGAUUUCUCUUCCCUUUUCAUUUUAAGCCAGUUCCUCACAAUAAUAAGUGACUGGCGGUUGACAUGAGGAGUCUUUUGGUACGGCAUAUCUGGGAAAUGCUGAUUGACAUAGAUGUGUCUUGCAGCACUCUGUAAAGGUUGUGAGAUUCAGACUCAAGUGCAUCACCUGUGGAAGUUUUUACCAUCAUAAUUGUGUGCCGUUCAUGAAUAACAUUCUUCCCCUACAUGUUUUGUUUCCUUGGAGGUCUGGGGAAUUAUGAGCCUCCACUCAUUUUCUUUAUUUUGUUUUGUAUGAAAUUGAGAUAUUUGAGAACAGACAAUUACUUAAUUUCUACUUCCAGUGCUACAGGUUCAUGUUCCUGGACGUAGGUUUCUGCUAAUCUCAAGCCCCCAAGGCGCCAUGGCUGCUUUGCUAUCCAUCAGUAAACACAGGGCUCUUAACAUAGAGUGAAAACUGGAGAUGGUAGGAGGCAUGAAUGAUGAUUACCUAAAGGAUUGUUCACUUCUUUAUGUUCAAGAGCCGUCUGUCAGACCUUAAGGGCUGCACUCUGGGAGAAAACACACUGUGGAAGAAAAACACACAAAUCCCUGUUAUAGUUUGGAUGAGCAUUUUCAGGGAACUGCUCCUAUCCAUGCACAUAUUGAGGGAACAUUUUUAGUCUGGUGAUGGUGUUUAUCAUCCCACACAGACAUUAGUUCCCUUUGUGGUUCGUUAGAUGUAAACCAAAAUGUAACCAAAUGUGCUUCAGAAUUUAAAAUAGUGCAGUACUGCCCCUUAAUACCACAGCUUACAAUAGUAUUGCUACAGUGUACAGUGCUACUUCGAUAGAAUGAUCUGGGAAACCUUGUCUAGUGAUUCAAGCACAAGACCAAGGGUCUAAAGACCUGGGUUUUAAUCUUGGUCUGAUGAUGAUUUACUGUGACCUUGGGCAAGUCACUUAACUGUUCAGUGCCUCAUGUUUCCUAUCUGUAAAAUGGGAGAUUAGAAUUUACAGGAUGUAGUAAUAUUUUAUUCAAUUAAUGUUUGGGAAGCACUCUGAAACACUAAUAUGGAAGGUGCUAUAAAAAUGCUAAGUAGUGUUAUAUUAUUUUUCCAAGGAUUGGACAGCUGCUCCUGUAGGCAUGUCUGAAUCUCUCCUUGCUGCUGCAAGAGGCUAUUCUGCUGGGUUUUCUCAGUACAGUGUGAAAUACUCUCCAUCAGAUUGCUAAAUUUACUUUGUAAACUUGUGCAGGUUUUGUACACGGACCAGUUCCCCAGAGCCCAUGGUCUGGUAUUAAAUCUCCACCAUUGUGUGAAAGAUUAAUUCUUGGAACUCUGAAAUCUAUCAAAAUGAUUUUUUUCAUUAGUCAGGAUAGAUGGAGGUGCCCUUAGACUUUCUCUCCUUUUCUUUUCUUUCUUUCUUUCUUUUUUUUUUUUUUAAUUGCACACCAUCUGGUUGGUGAAGGUUUUUAAAGAUUCCUUGUUCAGGUGGAGAACGCCAGAUGGGAUUUCAGGUAGUGUACUGCCUUUCUUCCUAAUCUCCUUUGUAUUAAAAAAGUUGAUAUUAAACUGUCUUAUUCCCACUGAUGUUUUCUACUUCCACUCCUUUUAGCAAUUCUGUUUUUUUUAAACAACUACUAUCUUUGUCUUGUUUUUAAAAAUCUCUUUUUCGUGGAAAAACCAUUCUAUUUUAAGUCAGUUUUAGGUUUCUUGGGUCCAUCUUCCAUCUGCUUAAUGGCUUGAGGUGAGUUUUAAUAUCUCUGUACAUUCCACACUCACUGUUUUGCUAUCUGUACUUAGUAGAAUAUCACUUCUGCAUCUAUAAAUGAGUUUUGAAGUAGCAGGAGACAAGCAGUUGCUGUAUGUGAAGCAAAGGUAUUAAAUAGUAACACAGAAACUGCUCCUCUUUCCCUUUGGCACACACAGUGUUUAGCUUACUUUGAAGUCCUCACUAAAUUUGGCCAUGGGUUUUCAAGCACCUGAUACAGUACAUGGCGAAUAGAAUAAGAUUUGCACCUGCUAUUAUGGCUUUUUUUUAACCCUAAGUUCUCAAAACACUAAAUAAUUUAGUUGUACAAAUCUGAGAAUGUUUUAUCCCCAUCAGGAGAGAAAAGCCAGGAAACUGAUAUUAUAGAAAAUGUUUAUUGCUGAAUACAUGAAUCACUUUGCAUCACUCAGUGGCCUUCAGGUCUCUGACAACUAACAUAAAAUUAUUUAACUGGUCUGUGCUUCAACAGUUUGUCAAUCUGUAAAAUGGGGACAAUAGUACUUACCUUUACAGGAGAGCAGAAUGGCUUCAUUCAUUAAUGUGUGAUGAAAAAGUGGAGUUGUUCAGAUGGAAUGCGUGCAAUAGCCAUUCAUAGUAUUAUGAUUUUUAAUUUAUUUAUUAAGUUACAUUGAUGGAGCUCAGCGUUUGGGGAAAGAAGCCCAAAAUACAAGAAAGUUAAGCUGAAGAACAUACAUAGGUGCAAGAUUGAUUUCUUUAGUCAUCAAAAUUUUCUGUAACCUCCAUUUCAUUGAUUCUUCUCUUCUGGCAUCAUUAAUUUGCAAUACCAAAGAUCAUGUAGCAGCAGGAUGGGGUGGAACUUAGUUUGAUUCUAAAAUGAGAGACACAAACUGGGACCGUUGAUGUCAGGAUAUGUGAGACAUUGGAAUGUGCUUGCUGCAACUCAGCGUGACUUAUCCAAGAGGGGAUAUUUUGAGAGGGUUUCUGAACUCCGACGUUUGGAACAAAAGCUGUUUUCUUUCCAUGAGGCUCCCCUUCUUCUGAGAAAUCAGAGACUGGAAUUGCCUGGCUAAAUCUUCUCAUGAGUAAUUGCCAUGUCAGAUUCAAUAAUAUCCAUACAUGCUACUGGUCUGUUGGUAGCUUACCCAAAAUGUUACUGGAGUGUUGGGAACAUGGCUUGAUAAGCAAACUGGCUUCUCUUGUCUUAGGCAGGAAAUAUCACUUCUGUACAAACGCAGAGCUCUGUUGAAAAGAAAACCCUUUAUAUAAUGCGCAAAAAUGCAUUUCUGUACUCUCACCACAUUUACCAUCCUACAAAUAUUCUGUUCUCACCCUGGGAUAACUGCAGAUGCUGAAGCAUGUUUAACAUGUUACCGACUCCUUUGCCCACAUGCCAUGAAACCUGAUGACUAAGUGUUAAAAUGGCUUGCUGUUUUAACUCAUUCCCCUACACUGAUUCCGAUCUCAGCCUGAUAUGAAGCAGGAGACCCUGAUGGAUUUAAUUGCUGCUGCCAAAAAGAUGAAUGCCUCCCCCUGUACAUGCUGACAACCAGCAGUGCCUCUUCAUUAGUCGUCAGGAGCACAAAACCUCAAGGGCAUUGGUGAUACUACCAAGUGAACUAAUUGCGCCUGUGAUAUCUAGUGCACUUAGCAAGGAGGCUGUUUAAUUAACUGGAUAUCAGUUUUAUUGCAUACAGAUAUCUCAGUGCAAACACACGUUACUUUGUAUCAAAGCCCCAACUACUAUUCUUGUACUGCAACUCUCCUAAUCAUUGCUAUUCAACUUAUUACCAGAGUGAAUAUGUCUUAUUUAUUUGGGAGAUGGAGCACCUCUUUAUUUUUAUUGUUUUACGUGCACAAAUGUGUACACACACAGUAAGUUUAAUUCUUCCAAGGAAAUGGUGUAACAAAUCAAAAGUGCCACUUUUUAAAAUGAGAUCAGAGCUCCCAGAGAACUGUAGGGUCAGUGAGCCAAGAAAAUGAACCUAGUGCAGACUCUGCUGCUUGUUUCUCACAAGGUUAAAGCCGAGGUCUCAGUGUGAAUGAACUCUCUUCCAGCUUGAUGAGAAGUCAUUAUGACAUGUAAAUAUUUGUGAUUCCCAUACUAAGCUUGCCUCCUCCAGUGUUCAAGUGAAAAUAAAUGUUUCUUUAAAAAAAUAAAACAAUGUAAUUACAAUUCUGGUUCACACAGUGUUAGCCUUGUACCAAAGUCUGUGAUAUUUCCAGAUGCUGAUCCCUGCAGAUCAGUACUCUGAGCCUCAGGUUUAGCCAUUUUGUUGUGUUUAUUGCAGCUAUGUGCUGUUCAGGACUUAGGGAAGGGCUUUGCUUUCAGGAAACCUGCUUUUCUUCCCAGCAUUAGCAGUGAUUCUUUGUGUGACCUUGUACAAGUCACUUAUGUUCUCUGUGCUUCAGUUUUCUCCUCUAUAAAAAUUGGUGUGCUGAUACUGUUGUAAAGUGCCUUGCGUUUCUUGGAUAGAUGGUGCUCUGUUAAAUUAAAUAUUGUGGGAGCGGUAUUCCAGAAGCAUCUAUGCAUCAAUAGAUUACCUAUUAGGAAUAUAUGUGGAGGUGAUUGCCAUGUGAUAAAUCAGAGCCAUGUGAUUUAAAAAUGCCCCAGAAAUAUUUCCUUCUAUUGUCCCAAGAGUGGAAUUUCCCCCUCACAAUAUCACACAUGCCUGAGUGCCAGGACUGACAAAAUGAAGUCAUGGCCUAGUAGAGCUGUGUUUAUAUAUACAAUGGCCACAACCCUAAAGUCUAUUAACCUGCAUAGUUAGAUACUGGAUCUUAAAAGUCCUGAGAGAGUUCAGUUCUCUGAUGAACCUUUGCACUCUCUUCUAUCACAGAGGGCCUGAGAGAUCAGGUUUCUAAAAUAUUGUAUUUUUAAAACUAGGCACACUAUUUUAGGUCAUUUGUAGGGGAUAUCAGUUGCUGCUGAGCCCUGAUGGUAGCUAAGUCAUUUGUCUUUACAGGGAGAGGAUGCAAAAAUAGGUUCAAUAACUUAAAAAUCUAAAACAUUCCCCAAAAAUUUUUUUCUGUGACACAUAUGGCAUAUUCAGACUAUAGAAUAGUAUGGUAACACAAUUAUAUCAUCUCUUGUCUAGGAUCACAUGCAUAACUUUUAUGAAAUCAUGCUAAUAAUGUGCCCACAUUCACAUAAAUAAAACCACACCCUAUUUGUAUUCCGUGUGUGUGUGGAGGGGGGGCCUUAUAUAUAUAAAAUACAUGUGUUAUGUAUAAAUUAGAAAAAUAAGAACUUGCUUAAUAAGCACUAUUCCCCAGCUACGAAUCUAAUUUAAAUAGAUGUGAAAAAUAAACCAAAACCCUCUGAAUGUUUGUAGCCUUCUUGUACUUUCUUUUGAAAUAAUUCUUCUGUACUUCUUGGUCAGCUUUUCCAAAUGACAGAACAUCACACAGGAUAGAGUACUGCACAGUUACUUUAAAGUUUCCUAUAACUGUAUCUUCUUUAACACCUUUUGCUGCUACUCACCCAGUUACCUACAGCUAAGAUCAAAAUGUUCAUUUUAUAAUUCUCUGCCAAUUAUUUUAGAAGCAGAUUACUACUAUUUCUAUUUCGCUCCCUACAUUUGAAUAUUCCUGUCAUAUUCACAAUCAGGUCUUUUUUUUAAAAUGGAGAAGUAAAUACUAUCACUACUCAUUUAUAUGUUCAGCCCCUUCUGCAUAGGCUUUUCUAUGGCACUCUUGCUGUAGUAUCUGAUGGCUGGCUGCUGUACAAGACUUCUGAGGAGAACGACAGCUGCACCUUUAAAAGUCCAGGCAGGAAUUUUGCUAGAGUCACAUCAUGGAGCUAGGGGUAGCACAUAAACCAAACAAGUUUACACUAGAAGCACCUUGGCAGUAUAACAAUACCAGUAAAGCACUCUAGCGUGGACACAACUUGUACUGGCAACACUGUGUUUUGUCUUGUGCAGGGUUAACAGCAAUCAGAGAGCUCAGUUAGCCCACCUGGUUGCACUGGAAGGUAGGCCAGGCCUAAUUAAUGAAUGUGUGAUGAAACCCAGCUGGGGACUGGCUGGGUGGUACUCUAAACAAAAAGUUUGGAGUGGAAGGGGGCUGCAGGGAGAAAAGGAGGAACUCUGCAGUUAGUUUCCCAAUAGUAGGAGUGAAGAGACCUGUAAGGCACAGGAGGGCUCUGGCAGGAGGUGGAACUAAACAUGACCUGUCUGGAAACCCAAGUCACAAAAAGAGGCUGACCACUGUGGGACUGGAGCAAACGUUGCCGGGGAGUGCUAACUGGGAAAGAGCUGCUAUGCCACGCCCAGCCAUGAGGGAGUGCGUCAGCUAUGACGUUUGGAAUGAAGUACUGACCUUGCUGCUGUGGCAACCUUUUCAUCAUAACUUGGAGCUAAUGAGUGUGACAGGUUCUCUUUUGUCAUUGCCAGCUUGAAGUUUUAAGAAACUCCAGAAGAGGAAGCCCAGCCUGUGAUAUGUGCAUCACAUGUGUGCUGGAGCCAGAGGGGAGCUGGUUCAGUAUGAUGUACAUCCAUCAGGAGCUGAAUCACUUGUAUAGAAAGAACAUCUCCUCUUAGGCACCUCAAACAAAAACAUACAUCCUGUGACCUGUAUAUUAUGCUCUGUUAAGUAUGGGGUGCAAUAAUUUGUUUGUUACUAGCCUCCUAUCUUUGUUUUCAGCCUAAGCCCUGGCCCUCUUGUGGUGAGGAUCAUGAACACCCAUGAAGUUAUAAACAGAUGCACUUUCCUGUUGGAUAGUCUGUUUAUGAUUAUGACUAUGUAUUGUUGCAUGCCAGCAAUAUGCUUGGCACCGUAUACUGCACAAUAUAGAUAAUCCCUUCACUACAGAGUUUAUAUUCCAAAAAAGAUUCAGAUGAAAUAGGAGGCAGUGGGAGAACCAGAGGUGGAGGCCAUUUGGGGAUUUUGGUGAAUAUAUUUUCUUAAAAGCCGCAGUUACUAACAGUAAUAGUGAUUUAUUAAUUCACUAACUAUAUCUUUUUGCAGAACUUCGGGCUGGUUAAUUUAAAUCAGCGUGUACAGUUUUUAUGCCUAUUAAAAGAUGUCUGCUAAUUC